rnacentral:rRNA from 1 species
UAGAGUUUGAUCCUGGCUCAGGACGAACGCUGGCGGCGUGCCUAAUACAUGCAAGUCGAGCGGACAGAUGGGAGCUUGCUCCCUGAUGUUAGCGGCGGACGGGUGAGUAACACGUGGGUAACCUGCCUGUAAGACUGGGAUAACUCCGGGAAACCGGGGCUAAUACCGGAUGCUUGUUUGAACCGCAUGGUUCAAAUAUAAAAGGUGGCUUCGGCUACCACUUACAGAUGGACCCGCGGCGCAUUAGCUAGUUGGUGAGGUAAUGGCUCACCAAGGCGACGAUGCGUAGCCGACCUGAGAGGGUGAUCGGCCACACUGGGACUGAGACACGGCCCAGACUCCUACGGGAGGCAGCAGUAGGGAAUCUUCCGCAAUGGACGAAAGUCUGACGGAGCAACGCCGCGUGAGUGAUGAAGGUUUUCGGAUCGUAAAGCUCUGUUGUUAGGGAAGAACAAGUACCGUUCGAAUAGGGCGGUACCUUGACGGUACCUAACCAGAAAGCCACGGCUAACUACGUGCCAGCAGCCGCGGUAAUACGUAGGUGGCAAGCGUUGUCCGGAAUUAUUGGGCGUAAAGGGCUCGCAGGCGGUUUCUUAAGUCUGAUGUGAAAGCCCCCGGCUCAACCGGGGAGGGUCAUUGGAAACUGGGGAGCUUGAGUGCAGAAGAGGAGAGUGGAAUUCCACGUGUAGCGGUGAAAUGCGUAGAGAUGUGGAGGAACACCAGUGGCGAAGGCGACUCUCUGGUCUGUAACUGACGCUGAGGAGCGAAAGCGUGUGGAGCGAACGGGAUUAGAUACCCUGGUAGUCCACGCCGUAAACGAUGAGUGCUAAGUGUUAGGGGGUUUCCGCCCCUUAGUGCUGCAGCUAACGCAUUAAGCACUCCGCCUGGGGAGUACGGUCGCAAGACUGAAACUCAAAGGAAUUGACGGGGGC